UACGUAGGGGGCAAGCGUUGUCCGGAAUCAUUGGGCGUAAAGCGCGCGUAGGUGGCCCCAUAAGUCCGCUGUGAAAGUCAAAGGCUCAACCUUUGAAAGCCGGUGGAUACUGUGGGACUAGAGUACGGAAGAGGCGAGUGGAAUUCCCGGUGUAGCGGUGGAAUGCGCAGAUAUCAGGAGGAACACCAAUAGCGAAGGCAGCUCGCUGGGACGUUACUGACGCUGAGACGCGAAAGCGUGGGGAGCGAACAGG
rnacentral:rRNA from 1 species